rnacentral:rRNA from 1 species
UAAGACGGAGGAGGCAAGCAUUGUCCGGAAUUAUUGGGCGUAAAGAACACGUAGGCGGUUUAUCAAGUCAUAUGUGAAAACCUUAGGCUUAACUUAAGGAUUGCAAAUGAUACUGGUAAGCUAGAGUACAGUAGAGGAAAGUGGAAUUCCUGGUGUAGCGGUGAAAUGCGCAGAUAUCAGGAAGAACACCAGUGGCGAAAGCGGCUUUCUGGACUGUUACUGACGCUGAGGUGUGAAAGCUAGGGGAGCGAACAGG